CCUACGGGAGGCAGCAGUGGGGAAUUUUGGACAAUGGGGGCAACCCUGAUCCAGCAAUGCCGCGUGAGUGAAGAAGGCCUUCGGGUUGUAAAGCUCUUUUGUCAGGGAAGAAACAGCAGCUCUAACACAGCUGUGAAUGACGGUACCUGAAGAAUAAGCACCGGCUAACCACGUGCCAGCAGCCGCGGUAAUACGUAGGGUGCAAGCGUUAAUCGGAAUUACUGGGCGUAAAGCGUGCGCAGGCGGUUAUAUAAGACAGGUGUGAAAUCCCCGGGCUUAACCUGGGAAUUGCAUCUGUGACUGUAUAGCUAGAGUGUGUCAGAGGGGGGUAGAAUUCCACGUGUAGCAGUGAAAUGCGUAGAUAUGUGGAGGAAUACCAAUGGCGAAGGCAGCCCCCUGGGAUAACACUGACGCUCAUGCACGAAAGCGUGGGGAGCAAACAGGAUUAGAUACCCUGGUAGUCCACGCCCUAAACGAUGCUGACUAGUUGUUCGGGAUUUUAUCCUGAGUAACGUAGCUAAACGCGUGAAAGUAGAGCCGCCGUCGGGUAGGUUACGGUUCGUCGAAGAAGUUAAACGUUAACAAGUUAGAGUUAGACGGCGUUGAGACGUUGCGACGGACGACGACGAGGGAGGAGGAG
rnacentral:rRNA from 1 species